rnacentral:lncRNA from 1 species
UGCUCGUCCGUUUCCGUUGCCUCUUGUGGGCAGGUAUAAGCGGUUGUGUGGUUGGCUGGAUUCAUCUGCCAAUCUGGCCAGCGAUUAGCACCGUACAGAAAGUGAAAUGAUGGAGCUCACUGUGCAUCUCUUCUAAUGCUGGUAGUGUGUGUAGCAGGGAACGGCAGGUCUGCCCAGUCAGGCAGUGUCAUGCAUCAAAAUCAGUUAAGCUGCUUGUGAAAGUGUUCCCUGAGGCUGCACUUCCCUGGACGCCUAGAGUACCAGUUUCUGAGAGGACGAGCAAAAAGACUUAACGACAAAAACUGAUGGACCAUUACAUCUUCCAAAAUGAGCCUAUUCACGCUUUUCUACUGGAAACUAACAUGUCUUGAAGAGAGAAGAAUUCAGUGCUGGACUCUCCUGAACAUUCCUCGUGGUGCAGCUCCAGAGAACAGCUGGGUUUAUCUGACUUGA